GUUGAUGAUGAGGUACAUAUACACGGGAUCUGUUGAUGUUAAUAUGGGUGUUGCAAAGGAUCUUCUAAGGGUUGCUGAUCAAUAUCUUCUUGAGGGCCUUAAGCGUCUGUGCGAGUAUGCAAUUGCCCAGGAUAUCUCAGUGGAAAAUGUCUCUCUGAUGUUUGAGUUAUCAGAGGCUUUCAAUGCAUUGUCAUUAAGAAAUGCUUGCAUUGUAUUCACAUUGGAGAAGUUCGACAAAUUAAGUGUCAUGCCAUGGUAUUCGCAAUUGAUUCAACUUAUAUUACCUGAGACACGUGCGUACUUUGCUAGGGUGCUGAGCAGGCCAAUUCAAGCUGACCUCUGAUUUAGGUUCAUUUUUAUUCUUUGAUUAGAUGUAGUAUAUGAUGUAAAUUGUACAGGAAGUGGGUUUUAUUCCACUCGUCUCUAAUUGCAAGAGUUAUGUGUCAUUUCUCAUCGCUUGCAAUUCCAUAUUUGUUGUGACGUUUAAUGUAGCGUAUGAAGUUCAGUUGCAACGCCUGCCAUGCUUCUAAA
rnacentral:misc_RNA from 1 species